UACAGAGACGUCGAGCGUUGUUCGGAUUCAUUGGGCGUAAAGGGUGCGUAGGCGGUCGGGCAAGUCGGAUGUGAAAUCCCAGAGCUUAACUUUGGAAGUGCAUCCGAAACUACCUGGCUCGAGGACUGGAGGGGAGACUGGAAUUCUCGGUGUAGCGGUGAAAUGCGUAGAUAUCGAGAGGAACACCUGUGGCGAAGGCGGGUCUCUGGACAGUUCCUGACGCUGAGGCACGAAAGCUAGGGUAGCAAACGGG
rnacentral:rRNA from 1 species